UGCGCCCGGCUAAUCAAUUGUGCUAUGAGAAAAAGCCAGCGAAUCUCCGACGUAAAAAACACGAACAUAUAUUCGGCGAAUAUAAACAUUAUAGCUGUUUUUAAUACGUCAUUGUUUCGUAAUGAACGGAAUAUCCGGCACUAACGUCGUCCAAGUGACUAAUCUGUCGUCAACGGUGAGCAGCGAGCAAAUGCGCACUCUCUUCGGCUUCCUGGGGGACAUCGAGGAGCUUCGGCUCUACCCACCCGACAACUCCACUCUAACCUUCUCGUCCAAAGUGUGCUAUGUCAAGUAUCGAGAAUCUUCCAGCGUUGGAGUGGCGCAGCAUCUCACUAAUACUGUUUUUAUGGACAGAGCCCUCAUAGUUGUGCCAUGUGCCGAAGGGAAGAUUCCGGAAGAGGCCAAGGCCUUGUCGCUUUUGGCACCUGUUGCUCCCGUGCACAACCUGCUCCACGGCAGGGGGCUGCUCCCCAUCCCGGCGCCCAGCCCACGACAGAAUUUGAACCUGCCCCUGGUUGGUCACUUAACCCCCAGCCCGGAGCCUGCAGUCUCCUCGCUCCAGCAGACUCCCCUCAUGGGCAACGUGGACCCGACCAAGGUGGAUGAGAUCAGGAGGACGGUCUACGUAGGCAAUUUGAACUCCCAGACCACAACGGCGGAGCAGCUACUGGAAUUCUUCCAGCAGGUGGGCGACGUGAAGUUUGUGCGGAUGGCGGGUGACGAGACGCAGCCCUCGCGCUUUGCCUUUGUGGAGUUUGUGGAGCAGGACGCCGUCGCCCGGGCGCUCUCCUUCAACGGCGUCAUGUUCGGAGACCGGGCCCUCAAGGUGAACCACUCCAACAACGCUAUUGUGAAGCCGCCCGAGAUGACGCCGCAGGCCGCCGCCAAGCAGCUGGAGAGUGUGAUGAAGCGCGUUCGGGAGGCGCAGUCUACCAUCGCCGCCGCCAUCGAGCCAGCGGAGAAAGAGAAACACUCCGCCGCUCAUUCGGGGGGAACACGACGGCCAUCACGAUCCCGCUCUGGCUCACGCAAAAGAUCACGCUCCAAACACGGACCACCGCAGAAGUGGCAGAAGAAUGACACACGCACUUCCCGAAGUGGCCACAGGAAGCGCUCACGCUCCAGAGACAGGCGGCGAAGCACGAGCCGCUCCAGGAUCCGCCGGCGGAGUCGAGGACGAUCUCGGAGUCCUCCUAGAAGGGGCAGGUCGCCCUCCCCAAAGAGAAUUAAAAAGCGGCGGGAACGCAGCCGGGACGAAUGGGAACCGUCUUCAUCGAGAAAAAGAAGCCGGAAAGAUGAAGAGCGGCCGAGAGGCAAGAAAAUGCACAAGGUGGGACGGGACUACGACAGAGAGGUCUCACCCGCCGAGGACGCCCACUCACCCCCCUUCACGCAGCACAACGGCGUCCACAAGGCGCGCAGCGACGACGCGUCCAUUUGACGCUGCCCGACUGACUGACUGACUUAAGUUGUCACUCCCCCCUCCCCCCCGCCGAGAGGGACUGGAGGACGAUUGGACUUAUUCCUGGAUCACGAUCAUGACAAAUGUGCGUUUUCCAUGUAGGCGAGUGUCGCGCUCCACGCUAAACUGUAGUCUACCGCGUGAGCGUCCCUUCUCCACCCAUCAUCAUCAGCUGCUGGAUGACGUCCAAGCUGGUGUAACCGCUGAAGCAGGACGCUAAGGGAGGAGGAUCACGGGAGUUGGCAGCGCUCUGAUCGUCAACGGCGGUGGAAAGGCCGUGGGAUGAAGUCGGCGCUCGGAGCUCCACCACAAGCAGAUUCGUCGCCAUGCAUUCCUCUUCCAGCUUGAGACUGUCAAUGGGCUGAAGCAGCUGGCGAAUGCAACAAAUGGAAGCGUUCCGUAGAUUUUUCAGUAUGCUUGUGUUUUACCUUCUGAGGAAGUGGGACCCCAACAAGGCAGUCACUACAACGAGGGUCGAGAUGAUGACGAGUGCCGUGAGGUUUGAUGAAAUUCCGUGCCGCGUCUCCACCAUCCUAGCGGCACUCCGGACACCCUGCCCGCCCCGCGUGAACCCCGACACCUGGACCCGUCCUCUGCAUAGUGGAUCACGUAGCCCAGCAGAAACCCACGCCGGUCCUCUGGUGAGAUAGCUGACCAGCGCAGCUCCAGAGAGGAUGACGUGACGGACUCAACGCUCAAGUUGGAGGGAGCGCUAGCCGGCGCUAACAGAAAACAGGCCACCUGAACCUCAAGCACCGGCGAGCCCUUCACACCCGCCAGCUGACACCCGGCGGCCCCCUGGCAACGCACCUAAAUCGCACGGACAAAAAUGUUUCCAUCAUCCUGGUGGUCUGUGACCUCUUUGUGAUGCACGUAGAAGGAUGUGACGACCUUGGCAUCGUCCUGACUCCACUGAGCGCUGACGUCAACGUGACUGUCCGAAUGACGCCUGAAGGUGACGUGUUGAGGAGGACCGCAGCGCACUGAAACGUGUGAAGAAUCACAGACAUGAACUUCCUAAAAGUCAGUGCAGGUUAAAGUUCGGCAAGAACUUACGCAGUCUGCUGUAAUGUUCCGUGAAGACAUCUUUGGAGCAUUCGGACCCGACGUGUUCCAGAACCUCCACGGUCAAGUCACGGUGAAACACUUGGAUGUUACUCAAAGUGUCCUUCAUCUCAUCAUCUUUUAUCUGAUACACUUGGCAGUAUUUGCCGUUCCUAGCAGAAGUCACAAAACCGUCAAUCAAAAUCUUUGUUGGUUUUUCUAAAUUGUAUUUCUGCUUUGCCAAUUGAACAAGACUCGCUUUUGACGGAGGAUGAGCGUGAAGUUGGCCUCCCUCUCCUCUGCUGCCCCACGCCGCCACUGACACGUCAGCAGACCAGCUAAGUGAGAUUUUCCGUAACAUUCCAAGCCUGCAAUGCCACCUGACACAAAAAAAACAAAAACACUCAGUCCUUCAUUCCACUUCCCGACUCCCUGAGUCGUCGGUUACCUGGCAAGGCGAGGCGGCAGGGCUCAUUUUUCGAUGGGUACUUAUCACAGGGCACUGAAACAAAACCGUGACAUCAUCAUCAGACCUAUAUGCUAAAUAAGAGGCGCAAAUAUUUACUUAUGUUUACAAAGCCCACCUGGUUGGAUCUGUCCCAGCGAGCACACCACACAUGGAUCCAAAAAUACACCUGAAAACCACAACCCCCCCCCAAAAAAAUGCUGAAACUAAAAUAUAUAAAAAAUACUCAUGGGUGGGAUCCCUGAAAUGGAAGUGACUUACCAGUGAGAAGUAGUAAAAGAUGACAAUGCCGGAGGAGCUCACACAUACGUCCUAACACGGUCCCGAUCAUGGUAGUCACACGAAAAGAUGUCAUGUAAAUGUAAAUUGUAAAGUCGCCCGGACAAUCCAUCAUAUUGUUUAUCUGUGAGCGUAAUAGCUGUGUGAGUGUGCAAUUUGGAUGAAGAAGUUGACUCACGCAGCUCACAGGAAGUUAUUCACGCCCCACUAACUUACAUGAAUAAAUUGAGCCUCUCAGCCAACAGAA